GAUGAAGAACGCAGCGAAAUGCGAUAAGUAAUGUGAAUUGCAGAAUUCAGUGAAUCAUCGAGUUUUUGAACGCACAUUGCGCCCCUUGGUAUUCCGAGGGGCACACCUGUUCGAGCGUCAUUCAGACCAUCAAGCUCCGCUUGGUAUUGGGCCACCCGUCGCUCCGGCGGCGGCGGCCUUGAAGACGUCGGCGGUUCGACCCGACCCAACGCGUGACGACCUCAUGGCGGACGGGCGGGAUGAGCUUGCUCAAUCACCCUUUUUAUUUUUCAAGGUUGACCUCGGAUCAGGUGGGGAUACCCGCUGAACUUAAGCAUAUCAAUAAGCGGAGGA
rnacentral:misc_RNA from 1 species